GCAGGGCCAUGUUUCGUGUGGAUGCUAGCUCCAGAUGUUGACCUUCCCGAAGGAAUUCAUUCAUAGUUAUCUGAGAGCCUUUGAAAUCAUUUUUAUCUUUUUUUUUUCUUAAAACAUACAUAUACAUAAAUAGAAAAACAAUGAAAUUCAUAAUCAUGCCAUUUUUAUAAGACAUAUUAAUGAAAUCAAUGCUCAUAAUAAAACAUGCUUUUUCAUAUCACAUAUGCCGAUCCUUAUUUUAUGAAAAAUUAUGAUUUUAUCAAUAGCAAUUCUUUACAUAAAAGCAUGAUCAUUUCAAAAUAAAUAAGGAGCUUAAAAUCCACUUACCUCGAUCAUCCGGGACCUUUUAAUCUUCCUUAAAAGAAUCAGACAGUCCUAUUUAAAAUAUUAAAUUAUUAAUAAAUUUUAUAUAUUUAAUAAAAUUAUAUAAUAUAAAGAAAUGACCGAUUUGAUGAUCAGUCCAAUAAAUCUCUCCCUUCAGCUCUAAACCGAUUUAAGGUCAUAGGUCCCUAGAAGUGGAGAAGAUAGCAUAAUAAGGGAUUCAUAGGAUUUCUUGGAGAGAAAUUUUUUUUAGAGAGAGAAAGUAGAGAGAGAAU
rnacentral:lncRNA from 1 species